AGAGUUUGACCCUGGCUCAGAUUGAACGCUGGCGGCAUGCCUUACACAUGCAAGUCGAGCGGCAGCGCGGGGGCAACCCUGGCGGCGAGCGGCGAACGGGUGAGUAAUACAUCGGAACGUGUCCUGUAGCGGGGGAUAACCUGUCGAAAGAUAGGCUAAUACCGCAUACGACCUACGGGUGAAAGCGGGGGACCGCAAGGCCUCGCACUAUAGGAGCGGCCGAUGUCGGAUUAGCUAGUUGGCGGGGUAAAAGCCCACCAAGGCAACGAUCCGUAGCUGGUCUGAGAGGACGAUCAGCCACACUGGAACUGAGACACGGUCCAGACUCCUACGGGAGGCAGCAGUGGGGAAUUUUGGACAAUGGGGGCAACCCUGAUCCAGCCAUGCCGCGUGAGUGAAGAAGGCCUUCGGGUUGUAAAGCUCUUUCGGCGGGGACGAAACGGUUCGUGACAACACCACGGACUAAUGACAGUACUCGCAGAAGAAGCACCGGCUAACUACGUGCCAGCAGCCGCGGUAAUACGUAGGGUGCAGGCGUUAAUCGGAAUUACUGGGCGUAAAGCGUGCGCAGGCGGCUCCUUAAGUCAGAUGUGAAAUCCCCGGGCUUAACCUGGGAACUGCGUUUGAAACUGGGGAGCUUGAGUGUGGAAGAGGGGGGUGGAAUUCCAGGUGUAGCAGUGAAAUGCGUAGAGAUCUGGAGGAACACCGAUGGCAAAGGCAGCCCCCUGGGCUAACACUGACGCUCAUGCACGAAAGCGUGGGGAGCAAACAGGAUUAGAUACCCUGGUAGUCCACGCCCUAAACGAUGUCAACUAGUUGUCGGGGAAGUUAUUCCUUGGUAACGAAGCUAACGCGUGAAGUUGACCGCCUGGGGAGUACGGCCGCAAGGUUAAAACUCAAAGGAAUUGACGGGGACCCGCACAAGCGGUGGAUUAUGUGGAUUAAUUCGAUGCAACGCGAAAAACCUUACCUACCCUUGACAUGCUAGGAAGCUCGCAGAGAUGUGAGUGUGCCCGAAAGGGAACCUAGACACAGGUGCUGCAUGGCUGUCGUCAGCUCGUGUCGUGAGAUGUUGGGUUAAGUCCCGCAACGAGCGCAACCCUUGUCAUUAGUUGCCACAUUAAGUUGGGCACUCUAAUGAGACUGCCGGUGACAAACCGGAGGAAGGUGGGGAUGACGUCAAGUCCUCAUGGCCCUUAUGGGUAGGGCUUCACACGU
rnacentral:rRNA from 1 species